ACACUCUCUGACUAUAUUGGAACUGGUAACGAUUACUCUCUUUUGAAUUGUGUCGCUACGCUUUUUAUAAUGACAUCCCCAAUGGGAUGACAGUCACGUGACAGUUCAUUCCGGCGGGAAUCGCAAUGCUGCAGGUUUUUAGAGUUUCCAUGAGAGAACGUGGAUUUUGAUGAUUACAGGUUAUGUUGAGUCAUGAACACAAAAGCGUCCGCGCCUGUGCGAACUGUCGCAAGAGGAGGAAGAUAUGUGAAUGGUACCAGAUGACGUGAUCGACGUGCGUGUGUGAAUAUGUGCAAAGGAUGAUGCUGAAGGGGCGGUUUUCCAUCCAAAUAGGCACAGUGGUUAUUAGUUGUGUAACUCCAGUUUCUGAUCUAUGGAAAGUGGUGAAACGUCUUCACGAAAUACAAUUUCAUUCGUUUUCCUCCCUUGCAUUGGCACGCUGUGAGUAGUGUCGACUUCCAAAUGAG
rnacentral:misc_RNA from 1 species